AUUGAACGCUGGCGGCGUGCCUAACACAUGCAAGUCGAGCGGUAACAGGUGUAGCAAUACAUGCUGACGAGCGGCGGACGGGUGAGUAACGCUUGGGAAUCUGCCUGUUAGUGGGGGACACCCGGGGAACUCGGGCUAAUACCGCAUACGCACUACGGUGGAAAGCCGGGGACCGCAAGGCCUGGCGCUAACAGAUGAAGCCCAAGUCGGAUUAGCUAGUUGGUAGGGUAACGCCACCAAGGCGACGAUCCGUAACUGGUCUGAGAGGACGACCAGUCACACCGGAACUGAGAC
rnacentral:rRNA from 1 species